GACGAACGCUGGCGGCGUGCUUAACACAUGCAAGUCGAACGGAAAGGCCCUGCUUUUGUGGGGUGCUCGAGUGGCGAACGGGUGAGUAACACGUGAGUAACCUGCCCUUGACUUUGGGAUAACUUCAGGAAACUGGGGCUAAUACCGGAUAGGAGCUCCUGCUGCAUGGUGGGGGUUGGAAAGUUUCGGCGGUUGGGGAUGGACUCGCAGCUUAUCAGCUUGUUGGUGGGGUAGUGGCUUACCAAGGCUUUGACGGGUAGCCGGCCUGAGAGGGUGACCGGCCACAGUGGGACUGAGAUACGGCCCAGACUCCUACGGGAGGCAGCAGUGGGGAAUAUUGCACAAUGGGCGGAAGCCUGAUGCAGCAACGCCGCGUGCGGGAUGACGGCCUUCGGGUUGUAAACCGCUUUCGCCUGUGACGAAGCGUGAGUGACGGUAAUGGGCAAAGAAGCACCGGCUAACUACGUG
rnacentral:rRNA from 1 species